UCAAAUCAACUGGUUCGAACCCACGAAAUCCAUUUUCGCUGCUUUCCACACACAGAGAGAGAGAGAGAGAGAGAGAGAGAGAGAGAGAGAGAAAUGCUUCCCAUUUCAAUGCUGUCCUUUGACUCCGACGACUGGUGGAGAAAGCCAGCUGAUGCGGAUGAUGACGACGACGAUGAUGACUGUGACUGUGCGCCAGCUGCUAUCGCGGAAGGCGAUGGGGACGACGACGACGACGGGGGCGGCUAUGAUUACGCUCCUGCUGCAUGAGAUUUUUCUGUCAUGAUUCCGUUCAUCUAGCUAUUGAUUAUCAUCAUCUCUGCUAUGUCCACUUUUGGUGAAGUCUGCAAUUCUAGGGUAGAUUAUUUUUCGUGAUAUUUAUGCGGGAGAUUAUUCUUCUAGCUGAUGAAGUGUUGAGGUUAUAGUGAGAAGAGCUCAUGUAAUUCAUUGUCGUAUAAUCAUAUGUCAUGUGUUUUAGUAAGCUAAAGUUAAAUAUGUAGCCUCUGGUGCUCCUUCAUUGUAUUAAUGACUAGAAACAAGAAUUCAAGAAGUGCACAUGGACCGUUGAGUUUGGUCUUCUGAUGCAUGGGCUUGUGAGGAGAAUGUUCCCCUUUUUCAGUCUCUGCCAGCUAUAUUUCAUGCUUGAAAGAUAAUAUACGCCUCUUAAAAGAGGGUUUUACAAUAUUACUAUUUAGUAUUCUACUAUUAUUUUUCUUAUCUUAAUUGAAAAAAUAAUUGGAAAAUAAAAUGGCAAGUACAAAAAUGAGUAAUAACCCUUAGUAGAGAUUGGGACAAUUUGAUUCAACAUUUAGUCCUUGCAGGUUUUAUCGUGUCAUAGCUCUAUAAUUUGUAUUAGGUUCAUUAGUGGAUGAAUUAUAUUACUAAUAUUGAUCCUAAAAAAGAAAUGGUACGUACAAAUAGUCCAUGAACAACUACCCAUUGCAUUGAAAAAUUGGAUAGAUUUAAUUUAUGGUCAUUGGGUCAUCCUAAAAAGAUCUAUUAAAUUCAUCAAGUUGUUCUAAAGGGUCAGAAUGGCCCAUUAUUAAUGGAAUUUCUUGUUGACUCCUUGUAAGAUAUUCUUUUGGAAGAGGACUUCUAAACAAAGAUACAAUAAUCACGUGGGACACAUGUUUAAUCUUAUGCUCUGUUUGUAAGAUGUCGGCAACUGGUUUGUUUAUGCACGUAAAGCAUUGGCGGAAGUAAAGGCAACUAUAAAACAUCAAGCGCGACGGGCGGAAAUGAUGAUAUCUAAAACAAUUUAUCAGUCUUGACUUUGCACAUAAUUUAUAGCCAAAUAUCUUUUAAAAAACUCCAACCUUUACUCUAUUUAUCAAAAAAUACCUUCAAAUGAAAAAAGUUAUUCAGGAGAUCCCCAAAUUUUUUGUUUGGAGAAAAAUGCCCGCCAUCAAAAUGUAGAUGUGGCAUCUGCGGUGUCAGAUGACUUCCGUCCAAAAAUUAGCUAGGUUUCAUGUCAUUUCAAAACGUUGUCGUUUUGAACACACUUAUUUACCAAAUUUAAUUGAAGUAAAAAAAAACUAACCUAAAUGCGCUAAUCCUAGAACGGCAUCAUUCUGCUAACUCACCCACAAAUGAUAAUAACACGCCCGAAAUAAUCUAAGAAGAAAAGGAAGGUGAAUAUGCCAAUUUGGCGAGUUAAAGUAGAAGGAGAUGAAGACGGAGGAGAGGGCGAGGAGCACUCAAUAUGCAUGCGAUUGUGAGUUAGGUUGAAGGGUGGAAGGAGACAUGGACAUUCCAAUUCAACUUCGAUAAAUUUGAGGUUUUCGGCUCAUUCAGCUAUCCGAGAUUUAGGGUUUCUUCAAGAGAUUUGCUGUCCAAUCAGAGACGAGGUUGUGACAGAUUUUUGUGGCAUGUUUACCCUGGAUAAUGCUAUUCACCCCACGAAAGGGGAAUACAUCUUCCAUAUAUGUUGACAAGACGUAUAUAUUUUUCUAUCGAAAAUAGGUAUUUGUCUAUAGGACAAUUUAUUUCGAAAUAAGAACAAUUCUUUAAUUUCUUUAACCAAAGGAAGAUGUGUGUCACGGUAUUGAGAGUGCAUAAGAUGAGGUUGGAAAUGAUUUUUGUUAUGGUCCGAGGACACAAGUGCCUGGAUACCUGAAAGUCUAUGAAACUAUUUACAAGUCCAUUGUAUUAUAAUUCAUAAAUAGUUAAUGAGACGUGAACAGCUAUCAUUGCCAUCAAGAGUUGGUAAUCCUCUGACAUGCACUAACUACGCCAACACUCAAGGGUUGAUGUUGGAAACGAUUAACCUUCCAUAGAGACCAAGUCCAACACUAAAGGUAUUCUUAAACGCUAUAUUCCAAAAACAUAGUCGACAAGUUGGAGUACCGCUAUGAUGAAUGUGAAUGACACACGAGGGCGUAUAUAUGAUAUUCAUUUACGAAAUUGCAUACGUUGAUGAAUCCAAACCGUCAUAGGAUCAAGCAUGUGGUUGUGGCAUGAUUUUUUUGACUUGCAAUAUCAUUCGUAUAUAUUGCCUGCUCCUGAAGUAUUAUAGAUCACUUGAGAAAAUCUAUAGUUGUAUUUACCAACUCAGCCCAUCAAAACGGAUCGAUGCUGCACUAACUACGCCAACACUCAAGGGUUGAUGUUGGAAAUGAUUAACCUUCCACAGAGACCAAGUCCAACACUAAAGAUAUUCUUUAAUGCUAUAUUCCAAAAACAUAGUCGACAAGUUGGAGUACUACUAAGGGUUGAUGUUGGAAAUGAUUAACCUUCCACAGAGACCAAGUCCAACACUAAAGAUAUUCUUUAAUGCUAUAUUCCAAAAACAUAGUCGACAAGUUGGAGUACUACUAUGAUGAAUGUGAAUGACACACAAGGGCAUAUAUAUGAUAUUCAUUUGCGAAAUUGCAUAUGUUGAUGAAUCCAAAACAUCAUAGGAUCGGGCAUGUGGUUGUGGCAUGAUUUUUUCAACUUGCAAUAUCAUCCAUAUACGCUAUAUCGCCUGCUCCUGAAGUAUUAUAGAUCACUCGGGAAAAUCUAUAGUUCUAUUUACCAACUCAGCCCAUCAAAACGAUCGAAAAAAAACUUUAUGAUCCAUUUCGGGGCAGAGAUUUCUCGUAGCCCGGCCCGAAGCCCGCCCAUUAAUCCCUGCGGAGGGCUAAUGCCACGGCGUCCAGUCGAUUUUCAUGGCUCAGAUUCUUCCACGCCAUCGUCACCAGUUUGGCGUCCCGCCAUACGUCCACCAAGAAAAUGGCCGUUCCACGGUAUAACGACCUCUCAUCGAUCGCUCCCACCGAAGAUGGCCGUGUCACCACUCUCCUCCCGCACCCUCAGCCCGCUCCCUCCACCGCACGUCGCUCUCCGGCGGCCGGGCGCCGUCGCUAGGGCCGCCGCGGUCGCUUUCCCGAGGAAAGAGCCGAAGUUGAAUCAGUUGGACGUGAGUUAUUAUGGCCAACGGUCGAAGUGGGCUCUCAGGCUCAGCUUAGCGGAGCAGAGCCCGCCGAAACCGGCCGUGGACGUGGAGCGGCUGGUGGGUUUCCUGUACGACGACCUCCCGCACCUGUUCGACGACCAGGGGAUCGAUCGGACGGCGUACGACGAGCGCGUGAAGUUCAGGGACCCCAUAACGAAGCACGACACCAUCAGCGGGUAUCUGUUCAACAUCGCCUUCUUGAAGACCGUGUUCAGGCCGGACUUCCAGUUGCAUUGGGCCAAACAGGUUUGAAUGCUUCAUCUUGUCAAAGCUGGUUCUGGUUUGAUGAGUGAUGCUGAGGUUGAGCUUGUCACGUUGAUUGAUAUUUUGAAGAUGAGCUUGUUAUGUUGAGGUUGAGCUUGGUUGCUCUUUUUAAAAUUUUCAUGUUAUAUUUCUGUGUGGCAAUGCAAGUUGAUGAAUAAUUCCACUGAGAUUUGUAUCCGUAGAUGUUAUUUGCAAUUCAUCAUUCUCGUUAGUUGAAGACAUUGACGAUAGAAUUUAUAUUUCGGCUGUAGUGACCAUAUAUGUAGAUCAUUUUUUGGGGCAAAAACAUCAUUAAAUUCUGAGGAGACUCUGCUGGUAUACUGUGUAGCUGCUUAAUUUCUCGGUUUUAACUGAUUGAGAUGGAAUAGACAGGACCUUACGAGAUAACGACCAGAUGGACGAUGGUGAUGAAGUUCAUGCCACUUCCGUGGAAGCCGGAAUUGGUCUUCACAGGAACCUCUAUCAUGGGAAUCAACCCGGAGACAGGCAAGUUUUGCAGUCACGUGGUGAGUUACGAGUCAAUUAUAUAGUCAUAGAAAACUUUAAGGUCCCAUGUUUCAAAAAGGGAUUCCCCAUGUUAGGACUACUGGGACUCGAUCAAGGAGAAUGAAUACUUCUCUCUGGAAGGUCUAAGGGAUGUGUUCAGACAGGUAAUGACUCUCCAGUUUCUGCUCAUGUGACGUGCCUCUGUUUGGGUGCUCACAUGUAUUCUUAUGCAUUCAGCUGUGCUUCUUUGUGCAUUGCUAAUGUUGUGAUUUGUGCAGCUUCAGUACUAUAAGACUCCUGAGUUGCAAUCUCCCAUUUAUCAGAUAUUGAAACGAACUGGAAAAUAUGAGGUAUGUGUUUUGGAAACUAUCUUUUAACAGUUUAUGUUGUGCAAACGAGACAAUCUAGUUUUUGUUGCAUUUGUUAGGACCUUACCACUUGUCAGAUCAAAUUAGAUUAGCUUUACUGUGUUUUUGACAUCUUCAUGAUGCGAGUAAGAGAUUCCUUGGUAUCUAACUGGAAGCAUUUCAUGUCAUUUUAUUGCUUUGUGAAUCUGACCAUUUUCAAGCUGAUCCACAUUUCCAACUUCAGUGAAGGCAUCAAUGUCCAACUAGCUAUGGUCGACUAGCUGAUCCUUCUUUCCACUUUCUUUUAUUUUCCCGUUCCUUUUACGGCUAUAGCAGAAUUUAUUUUUAUAAGUUUUUGCAGUUGUCUCUUUUCUUAUCAUAAUCUAGACUAUGAUCAUUUUGUGUAGGGCACUUUUUUUGGGUUAAUCCCUUCUCAUUUCCUGAAAACAUGUUGCCAUUUAUUUGUGUGCAUAUUGAAACAAUCUCUUUGUAUUCUGAUUUCUGAUCACUUACUGUAUACUUGAUUGAAGAGUCAAGCACUGAGAAACUUUUGUUAAUAUCUGCUUGGAAUUGUUAUUAAGCAAUACUGCAAUCCAUAGGUAAGAAAGUACGCGCCAUUUUUAGUAGCAGAAACAAGCGGAGACAAGCUGUCUGGAUCGAAAGGUUUUAAUGACAUAGCAGGGUCAGUUGCCUCUGCCCAUCUAUUUUAUAGCAUUAGUUUCUUUUCUUGUAUGACAAUGUUGAUGAUUAAAUUAAUAUGCACAGGUAUAUCUUCGGGAAGAAUUCGAAAACGGAGAAAAUGAAAAUGACUACUCCUGUCUUCACUCAAGCAUUUGAUAAUGAGUUGUCGAAAAUAUCGAUUCAAUUUGUUCUUCCGCUGGAGAAAGAUUUAAGCAGGUGGGGCUAUAUAAGUUUAUACAAUUGAAAUUUCUUAAGGUGUGUUAUGCCAAAAUUCCCUUUAGCUAGUGAAGCAAAUUCAGUAUUAUCGAGUGAAAGUAAUAAGAUAUCUUUUGUGCAGUGUACCUGAUCCCAGUCAAAAAAACAUAAGCUUGAGACAAGUUGAUGGUGGUAUUGCUGCUGUUCUGAAGUUCAGUGGAGAGCCUACUGAAGAUAUUGUUCUCGAGAAAGAGAGAGAACUUCGCUCUAGUCUUCUAAGAGAUGGGCUCAAACCAAAGAUGGGUUGUCUGUUUGCAAGAUACAAUGAUCCAGGACGAACGUGGAGCUUUACAUUGGUAAGACGAUGCCAUCAUCUCUGGCAUACAAUUCUAUAGGGUUGCCGCUUGUGACUUGCAAAAAGCUAAUUUCAAAGGUUCUGUUUGAUUUGUCACUGUACUAUGAUAAAUAACCUGUUAAGUAUUCACUUGCAUUUUUUGGGGUUGCUUGUACUUGCAGAGAAAUGAAGUGUUGAUAUGGCUUGAGGAAUUCGAGUUGGACUAGUAUAUGAUGUAGCGAGCAGUGAGUCCGGCAAUUCUUUGAUGCACUGUCUUUGCGGAUAUAACUUAUUAGCUAUCUUGAAGCUUUAUAACUCCCUGCCAGUGAAAUUGGCGCAGUAGCACAGGCCCAAACCAUGUUCCUAUUAGCAUCCAACAAGUCUAGUAUUUGUAUAUUGCCUCAGACAAAGCACCAGGAAUCCUGCGGCUGCAGUAAAUGUUUAUACUUUGAAUCCUUUCACGAUAAAGAUGGAGAGAGGGAAAUCGUUACCUCAUGGAUCCGAGGAUAGCUCUUGAUGUGAACUCCAUGUGUUGUUCCUGUAAUCAGUAUGCUCUGUCUCCUUGUGUUUAUGAAGUUUCAACAAUGAGAUGACCAAGGGUAGUGGAUUGAUCAAUGUUUCAUGGCCCACCUGCACAUGAAUGUGUAAAAUGGUAAAAACAUGGCAGGAAGCAUAUCAUGACGUUAGCGGAUAUCUGUUUUUCAGAGAAAACGUCACUUUGACGCUUUUUGCUGGUUGAUUUAGCAGAUAAAUGCAACAGCCAUAUAUCGAAUGGAAAGUACCAGUACUGAACGGUUUCUAGGCAGAGCAAGAACCUUCACUUCCCUGACAAUGUGAAAAAGCCCUGAAUGGGAAGCUGCUGAGGAGCUAAAUUGUAAUUUCAAAAGGAGCUAGAUUGCAUAGAAGGAAGUAUUAAUCGCAUGAAGUAGGUUCCGAGAUCUAGGCCAGGUCUCAAUUUUUUUAACAAACUGACUAUUAAAACCAAAUUAAAGUCCUGAAUUUGUGACCGACGCCCCCAUUACCUAAGAGAGACAUCAUACUCGAUCUAAGCUUGUUGUCUGUUUUGGGCAUAUAACCGUUUUGAGAUUAACUCAUCUUGAUGGAGCAACAGGAUGAAUUGCAAAUUGAAAUCUCAAGCAAGAUCGAACAUUUUCGUCAGUUGGGGAUGGGCACGCUAAUAUCAUAGGUGCAAGGUUCGAUUCAUGCUCUACAAAAUAGUAGAGCAAAAGUUUGUAAGAGGGAGAGGAGAGUUAGAGAUAGGAUAGAUCAAACAUUGAAAUCUCAAGCAAGAUCGAAGGUUUCUAUCAUGUGGGAUUCGACUCCAUGCUUUGCAAAGAUAUUUAGCCAAAAAGUCAGAGAUGAGUUAAACCUCCAACCUUUGUGAUGCUUAAACCUUGAUAAGUUGUCCUGUAACUUUUUAAUUUAGGAGGUCCCUUACUCAAAUGGUGGGCUUCAUCAUACUUGGGUCUUACUAAAGAAAAUGGUGACUCGUUUUCUGGAAAAUAUCACGAUUUCGAAAAAUGUUUUUCAGGAAGCCAUUUUCCUAGAAAAUGACUAUAUUUAUUUGGCUUCAGGAAGCCAUUUUCCUAGAAAAUAUUUUCCACUAUUCUUUAUCUAAUUUGAUUUUUUUGGGAAAAAUUACCAAAAAAAAAAAAAAUCUAAUAUUUGUUAUUGAUCAAAAAAAUUUAAUUUUAAUUUAUAUAUAUUUUUUAAAAUAGAAUUUUUAAUUAUUUUUUAAAUAGAAUUUUUAUCAUUUUUAAUUUUUAAUUUUUCUUUCUUUUUCUUUUCCUUCCUCCUCCUUCCUCCGUCAUGUGCCUUGAUGAUGGUUGGCUACCCGGUGACCAACCAAGACAUAAUCGCCAGAUCCGGUGAGCUCGGGGCUCGAUUGAUCCAAGAGAAUUGCCAGCUCACCAACCCAAUCCAUGAGAGCUUGAGGUCCCUAAGGCCGACAAGCUUGAGGCUCAGUUUAUCCAACUAAGCUUAAGCCUCACCCUCGUCGGAUCUGGCCUUAGGCGAGGCUUGAGUUGGCGCCAAGGCUGGCGACCAGCCAAAGAAAAAGAAAAAAAAGAAAAAUUAAAAACUCAAUUUUAAAAAAACGAAAACAUUAAAAUAAAGAAGAAGAGGGAAAAUAAAAGGGGAAAAAAAAAGGAGGAGGAAGUGAGAGCCUGCAGGGUGUAAAUUUUCCACUAGUUUAAAAGACAUUUUUCCCUUUAUGAAAAAUGUUUUCCCCAAAUAAUUCAUUUUUGGUGGAAUGAAUAUCGGAAAAUUCAGAAAAUAUUUUCUCGAAAAUUAUUUUCCAAGAAACAAGUGGAGCCUUAAUUCACCUAUCCUCACGGCCUCCUCUUUUUUUCUCUUUUCUGAGCUUUCGGGCUAUCUUCAUGUCUUUUCAUCGAUACAAAGAUCAUGUUCACAGCAAAAAGGGAUAGCGAUCGAAAGUGGCGAUUUGGUCCCAUCUUUUAUUGGGGGCUUAUCCCUAUAUGCAGUGGCUCUUCUUGCGCAGCCAUGGUUGACCAUCUCCAUCUCCAACUUACGGUGGCUUUCCCGUCACCUUCACGUCCUUCGCUUCAGGGUCCACAUUCCCACUUGGUUGAACAGUUUGUUUAGACUCAGUUUUUGCCGAACACCUCGCUUGAAUUUGUCAGCAAAUGGCUUCCCUGCUCGCCAAGGUGGUUGACCCGGGGUCAACUUCAGACACCCCUACACGGUAAGUUAAAGCUGAAGUCCAAUCAUUAGAUGGAAAAGGUUUUUAUCUUUUUGCAUGAAAUGUUCUGCACAAUCAUUCAGUCAACGUCUUGACAGCUAGUUGCUUGGAGCCGUGCUAAUUUGCUCCUCCAUACACGAGUUCUUGCAAUAUCCACCUAGUAUUGGCUCUGGCCUAAUUCUCGGCCGAACUUUCGUCACAUACGAAGUUAUUACAUGAUGCCCGUUGCAAAAAGGGCAUAUCCAUCGAGCAAAUUCAGGGGAGUUCUGCAUUGCUUCUUACAAGUUGUCUAUUGAUGUGUUUUUGCAAGGUGACACUAGCCCCGUUUGGUUCCACAUUUGCAAUGAGCUUGGGACUCAAAAGUUCCUUAGCUAAAUGCAAAUGCAUUUGAUUCGUGUUUUUGCUCAACUUUGAGAAAAUACAAUUGCAUCUUCAAAUGGCUCUAAAGGCCUUUAUUACAAAGCAAGUUCCAAGAUAUUUUGGGAAGUUGCAUUUUUGGAAUGCAAGUCUCAACCUUGGUUACUGUUCAUCUUUUCCGAAGACCGCCGCAUGGAAAAGCCAAUUGGAGGCCAACGGCCGCCACUUGAGGAUCGCCCAACCCCGGCGACCGUUGUCGGAUCUCAGGUGACGCCUAGGUUGGCGACUGAUGGCUUAAAUUGCAUGACCCAAGCGGCCGCCUAAAGUCAUGCAACCUCAGGCGACGGUCGCUUGAGGUCGCGCAACCCCAAGCGAUUGAUGGCCUGAAUCACGCAACCUAGGAGGCCGCCUGAGAUCGCGCAACCUUGCUUAAGGUGGGCAAUCUCAUGUGAGGCCAUCCAAUGGUACGACGGUUAGAUCUGGCCAAUCGAUGGUUGGACUUCAAAAUAAAUUACAAAUAUAUAUAUUUAUAUAUAUUUUAAUUCAGUAAAUGUCCUUUACAAAUGCAAUUUUUAAUAAAUGGCAUUUUAGUCAAAAUUGUUUCCCAAUGCAUUUUAAAAUUAUAAUUCACCAAACGUUAUCUGCAUUUUGGAAAACUCCCUUGACCAAAAAUAUUUGUAUUUUCUCAAAAACAUUCUCCCAAAGCUAAAUCAAACGGGGCCACUGACCUUCUAGAACUUGUUACAAUGCUCUUCCAACAUUAAAGUUGAAAUCAGAGUAAAAUAAAGGCACUUGUGGAGUAAAUGAAGAGAAGAAAGGAGGAAAGAAGGUAGAUGAGAGAUAUAAAGGGAAAGGGUUGGGUGGUUGUGUAAUCGUCACCAAAAAUAUGUCUUUCAUUGUCAACUUAAUUGGCAGAAACCGAGUUGAAUGCGACAGAAGCAAGAUUUGCUAAUUGUUAAAGGCUAUCGGUCAGCAAAACUAAGUUGGCCAACAAGAAAAUUAGUUUUAACCGACGGAGAAAUGAGUGAAAAUAACCAAGUUGUGGAGUGGAAUGUCUACAAAUGAAGAUUAACCAAAGUGAAAAAAUGUUGCGAUCGAUACAACAAUUAACGGAAUGAGAUUCGAAUAGUUGCCUAACUACUAGAGCCGAUGAUUUCGGGUUCAAUUGUCAGAGGUGCAUUUGUAAAGGAAUAAACUCAAUGCAAUAGUCAAGUGAUAGAGCCAAGAAGUUUGUGAGCAAUUGAAAGUGGUAAUUAUGAAAAAAGUGGAGAAGACACAGCCGUCAAAAUAGUGGAGAAGACACGAACAUCGAAGUAGUGGAGUCGUUUUUUUUUAUUUACCACUUGUAAAUAGGAAUUGUUUGAUUGUUGGAAUCACGUGCGAUAAAUUUUUGUAUCUAUCAUUAACCUUUGAUAAUAAGCAUAAAUGCUUAAAUUUCAUAUUAAAUUAAUAUUUCGAGUUUGAAUUUAAAAAAAAUUUGCUUAAUUGAAUUUGUUGAUAAAGAUUUCUUAAGUAGAAGAAACUACGUUAGACUUUGUGAAGAAUUAUAAAAGAGAAAAUAAAAUAGAAUAAUAAACAAAAGGGAGCAACGUUUCUUCUCUCAUCUGCAGGAGGUUAUUAACGUGGGGCUAUUAAUGUGGGGCCCAAAGUCAAAUAUUUGACUUUUGGCACACGUAUUUCACUGCACGUGGUGGGCUCAAGCCAUGACUUUGACUUUUGGGGACACAUAUAUACAAAACAAAUGCCUCCAGGAGGUGGUGCCGCCGAAGCCCUACAAAAGCAAAGAAAGAAAAGGAGCCCCAAGCCGCACACGUGAAGCUGAAGAGUCGUGCGCAUUUUUGUUUAGAGCUUGAACGCACAGUAAUUUUAUACCGUAAAUUUAUAUUCAAGUGAACUAUUUAUUUAUAAAUACUUUAAAUUUUAGAUUAAAUCUUGAUAUGAGAAACACUCAAGCGUGUUUAGCACCGCCCUUAUAUCUACGUAAAUUCCUGGUAUCCUUAUUAUUUUUCGUUUAUUUCUCUAGUGAUUUUGCAUUGUCGUAGAUUGCAAGAUCAUGUGAUUUUUUUUUUAAUAACCGAUGAUUCCACCACGAGCUCCUCGGGCCCGGACAGCACCGAAAGGCCGGGACCCUAUACUCGGGGGACUAACAGAAGACCCCACCACCAUGGCCCCUCACUUAAGACGUUAGUACCUAGAGAAUCGAACUUGCGACCUUGGCGAUGAGGAGCAAGCCUUGAACCAUCACAGUUGCCUACUAGUGGGUUUGCAAGAUCCUGUCGUUUCCACAUAUUAUAUUAUAACAUUUCAAUUUGUAAAAUGGACACAAUCAAUCAAAAAACACCACAUGACUCUAUCUCGAUACCUUUAAUUUUCUCAUCGUGUAUGUUUCCUGUCCAGUCAACAAAUGACCCUUUUAAUAUCUUUGUCGGUUCAGAUUAAUCCAUAUUUCGAAAGGCAUUUUGUCAAUAGUUUUCGGCAAAGAGGUCACUAAGAAUAAACGAAGAGGUCGAGGGCUUGCCAAUAGUGACAGUGAUGAUGGCCGUCAUUGCUUGCCGUAGCGGUGGUGGUAACAAUGAUCACCAUCUGGCUUCAACUCCACGCCUUUACUACUUCCCUCCUUGCUCUCACAUCCGAUUUUUUUUUUUUUUUGUCCAUUUCGAUAUUCCCUCUUAAAUGUAAUGAUUUUACAAUACCGUCGAGGAAACAUUGCAACGUACUUCGAAAGAUCACGGAGUAUGUUGCAGAACUUUUGAAACCUCUGGGCCAAAUUAUAACGGUCCAAAAAAUAGCGGCAGUAAAGUACAAUUCUAUUAAGGGCCUGUUUGGUAACCAGCCAAAUUGUAAAAAAUUCUAUUCUUUUAUUUCCGAGAGUAAUUUUAAAAUAGAAUCGUGUUUGGUAAAAUUUGUAUUCUCUAAAGUAGAUUUGGAGUAUAAAUUUUGAGCAUGAUACCAAACGCAAUUUUAUUCCAAGAAUUAAAAUUUUGGAUAAUUACCAAACAAUUUAAAAUGCUUAGAAAUUGUUCACAUGAACCAAAUAAAAAGAAUAAUUUCUUAUCAGAAUUUGUUCCCAAGAACAAAAGCAUUACCAAACGCACUCUAACUGCAUCAUCCAGAAUGAUGUCCGUUCACCAAAAUUCCGAUGACAAUUUUGGUCCGAGUCAUUAUGAGGGAGCAAAUCGAAACAAAUUUUAAAAUAUCGGAGCGAAUAUUGCUAAAUUUAAGGCUUUAAGGGGGUAAAAAACUAGGGGGACAACACAAUUCUCCUAAAGCUCAAUGAUUGUAUUAGUUUCAUUGUGCAUGAAGGUCUCUUCAAUUAUUCGAGCACUGUUACCAGUUUUGAAUGAUAGCUAAAUGUUAAUGUCACAUAAUAGUUGUAAAUCAUCCAAAAGAUAGACCAUUGCUUAUGUUUAUCUCUUAUUUCCACAUGCAAUUAUGACUAAUUAUUACGUAACAUGUCAAAAAAACCCACAUUGACUAGGAGAGGCCCUAUCGAGUGAUCCACUAAUCAAAUACUCAUUCUCAAAUGAUCAUCAUCUUAUAUGUUAUUACAAGUAUUCCUUUAAAAGAUUCGGCCCAAACGAAAAGGACGGAUCAUAUUUACUUCUAAGAAAAUAUUUUUUCAAAUCAUUCAUUUUCGCGAAAUAGACGGAGCAUAAUUACCUUAAGUGUAUAAUCAGGGUUACUCAUUUUUCACGAAAUAGACAGAAUCUAAUUACCUUUAACGUGUAACCAGGGUCAGGAAUGACAUUGUUGAUAUGGCAUUGCGUGCCCUAUACUCCCCAAAACUAGCCCCGUGCUGGACACGAUCGGUCGGAAUUAUUGCUUGAUCUCGGUGUUCUGUCCAAUAAAGAAAGAAAACUACACUUUGUCUUUAACCUUCCAUUACCUUUCAUGAAGAACGGUCAUUCCCCAGCUCCACUCCAGGGUCCUCCAAUCGCGCAUGUUCAGAUACAAUCGAAGUCAAUUGUUAGUCUAUGUAACACGCAGUGCGUAACAUGAAAAUUAAGAUUUGACCUAUAUCCCUCUUUCAUCGAGCUUCUAGUUCACAUAUCCCUGAGCGCCAAAGCACAUAGCUAGGCGAACAUUUGUGUGAUGUGGUCGAUUACCUUUCAAUUUAUAUCCAAAUCGAUCGACACCCGGUUGUCAAGACCCAAACUCACGAGGCCCAACGAGCCGGCAGAACAUUGUAAUCGAGGGAAAUGGAGACCGCACGAACCACAUAUGCAUCCUGGAUAUGCAUGCAGCCUGAUCAUCCGCCGGUCUACAAGAAUUUCCGAUCAGCACUUCACGUGCAUAUUUUUCCAAGUCCCAUCGAUCACGGACGCUACGGGUUUCAAGAACAAUCCACGUCCAGAAAGCAUCCGUAGCGGCUGAAUACGCGCUUCGAUUUGGCGUUUAUGCUAAGGGAAAUGUCUCAUUUGACGGGUCAGGAGCGACUUUGAAGAAUCAAAGAUUUCUUCGAAGAUAAAAAUAGAAAAUGCAGAAGUUAACACAUUAAUUUGGCAGCAAAGCUGCCGUCUCACGUCUGUAUAUUAAAUCUGUAGGGCCUAAUCUCUAUGUCGAGGUUGGUAUCUACGCUUUAUGGCACGCGACACAAUCAUCUUAUGGAAGAGCGUUGACUUUGAUGGAAUAUAUGCACAUAAUUUCCCUCGUCCGCUCCAUCUUCCAAACAUGUUUAUCAAAAGGAGUCUCCCUGCACACCUUCAUCCAUGUCUCCUCCUCGUCUUCACCUCCGCCCUCUUGGAGAUUGCCUUCGUGGCCCGUGGCGAUGUCGGCACGGCUUCUCACUAUACCCCUCCAUACCAACGUAAGUCCUAACCCUACUAGGAAAAGAGAGAACGAGGAGAGAAGUUCUCUCCAUCAUUUGAAAAGAAAUGGACUUAUAUUGAUUUGGCAGACGUAGAAGCUUAUAUGACUUCUCUCUUUAACCCUUUUUCUUUUAGCGACGGAAUGCUACGGUGGGGACCCAUCACAGUUCCCGUCGAGCAACCUGUUCGCGGCGGCGGGUGACGGGGUGUGGGACAACGGGGCUGCGUGCGGGAGGCAGUACCUGGUGCGGUGCAUCAGCGCGUCGAAGUCCGGCACCUGCAUCCCCGAACGCACUAUCCAGAUCAAGAUCGUCGACUACGCCCUCUCGUCCUCGUCUGCAGCCGUCGCCUCCAAGCAGUCCGUCACCGGCGCCACCUUGGUCCUGUCUCAGACCGCGUUCGGAGCCAUUGCCAAUUCCUCCGUGGAUUCUAUCAACGUCGAGUUCCAACAGUAAGUAACUCCAGUUUCCCCCUUUCUCCGUACUUUCUGUGAAUCUCGUGCUAGUUAGUUGGACGCCAUUUUUCGAGCUUACGAAUUCUUUUCCGCCCUUUUUUUCGCCGUAAUAUGGUAGAAUUCUUGCGACAAACUCGGAAUUCGGAUGCUUCCGAAAAGGAAUCGCAGUAAUUCAGGGUAUAAGAACUUCCAAUGAUCAACCUGUCUUGCUAAACUCCAGCUGCGGUUGCAAUCACAAUACAUCGAACCAAAACUUUAAUUUAAAUAGCAGCGGUAAUGCGACAAUCAUGUUAGACAAUUCGUGUCGUCGGUCAAACCAAAAACUAAGUUCGUCGCAAUUCUUAUAUGUUUACAACGGGCAUAUUUUGUAAUUCAAAAACAAUGAGCGUAUCAAGCUGCGACGCCGGCGUUCGCAUUAAUUGUCGAUUAAAAUAAGGUGGGAUAGAAGCAAAUUUCAAAAUGGAUGCGGCCUAAUCCGCCGACGAUUUCAAUAUCAGCACGUUGACUUCGAUAUGGUAAAAGUUUUCAAAUCAUAUAUAUAUUUUGUGUUCGGAACGUGCAGGGUCUGAUCUAAGAUUCUGGAGAUAAUCUGGCGACUGCUCGAUAUUGAAGGAUGGAGAGGCAGAGAAAGUCCAAAGGGAACUCGACGAAUGAAAAUCGAAUUGGAUCAAUUCUUGCGUCGUCCUCUAGAAUGAUGAUCGAUUGUUGUUGAAAAUUCUUCUUCUUCUUUUUCCCUUCUUUUCCCCCCGUUAGUAUUGGUCUUCUUUGUCUUGCACAAGUUCGUCAUUCCUUCAUUUUCUACAAUUGCACGUCGUUUCAUGUUGUAUUAAUCAAAGAGAGGGACAGAUUUUUCAUGUGAGAAGGUCGGACAUGAAUUUCUUGGAGGCUUCCCCAGAUUUGGAAGCUUCUCUUUAUUGCUAGUCUUCGUUUUCGGUGGAAGAGGGGUGUAAUAAUCGCACCUAACAUGCAUACCUACUUACGCAAUUGCUUUAAUUUCUCUCACCUAAACCAAUUUUAAAAAAUUCCUCCUUUUAAGAUGAACCAACCAUGUCGACCAAAAUAUAUAUAUAUAUAUGAAGAAUCAAUUUAUAUGAUGAUCACACGGGGCUGACGUAGCAUAAUUGAUGAACCACGUUAUCUACACGAUAAAUAUUAGCUGGUUUUUCUAUUAUCAUUAUUGUUAAAAUGUGACUGUUGCGGGAUAUAUUUCUGUUUUAAAAUAUGAGAACCGACUACAAAAAGGGGACAGUUUUUUUUUUUUUUUCGGGUGUUGGGAUUAGGAAAGAAAAAUUUCAGUAUCCCUCCUUAUGUUUGGAUAAAUCACUUCAUUUUUUCCAAGUUCGGAGGUAACUGAACUAAAAAGUCCUAAAAUUUAUUUGCAAUAAAAAAAAUUGGCAAGAAGUCGUCAUGCGAUUAUCAAAUUUAUAAGCGCAUCUAUCCUCACAAAAUAUUUUUCCAUUGUCAAAUUGAUUCGCAAUUUACCAUAUCUGAACAAUUAAAAACCUCAUAUUUUCUCUCUAUUCUCCUUGUGAGGAUUCUACUUUUGCACAAGCCCGACAUCGGCGCCACACCUCUAUCUGCUGCUAGGGUCGAUCGCGUCCACUCCAACAAUCACCGAGUUUGUCACCACUAUCCCCGCAUCCAUCAUUGUUGGGUUCAACCGAAGGGAAUUGCCAACAAAGUUUUAAAUCUAUUACAAUUAUGUCAAUUCAAUUCUAAACUAUUUUUUGGCCAAUUCAAUCUUAAAUCUCUUAUAAUUAUGUCAAUUUAAUCCAUCCGAUCAAUUUUGGCAAAUCGGCUCUAAUGUGGCGCUAGGCGACACUAACAUGGAUAAUAUUUUUUUUUUUUACUUUUUGAAUUUAUUAUUUUUUCCUUUUUUUUUUGGUUUUCUUCCUUCUUUGUUUUUUUUCCCAUAGCGGCAAGUGUGACUCGCUUGCCACUAGGCAUGGGCUGUGAAGCCCUCGCUAGCUGCCAACAAGGCCAGACCAUGGCCUUGGGGGCCACACACAAAGGGAGGCUUGCUCACAGCCGACGAGAGCUUUGCAGCUCUUGGAGGGCCUCAUCGGCACUAUGGGGAAAGGCGGAAAAGGAAGGAAGAAAAGAUAAAUAAAUAAAUUUUGGAAAAAAACACACUGUUAAAAAUUGUUACAUGUCAGUAUUAGCCAGUCAAAAUUGACUAAAUUGAUUGAAUUGAUAAAAUUAUAAAAAAUUUAUGACUUAUCAAAAAAAAAUUAAAAUUGAAUUGGUGUAAUUAUAAUAAAUUUAUGAUUUUCUUGAUAAUUCUUCCAACUCAAUCACCUUACCCAUCUUCGACCCCAUCACGCGAGAAUGACGGAUUAGACGAGACCAAUCCAAUCGUCUUCUCUCAGCACGAAGAGGACAAUCGUCACUAGCCCAGGACGUGUUAUCGGCAAGUUGAUUGGCCGUGGACAAGUAAACGCCCAGUCAAGCACGCUCUUAUUACCGAACAGAGGAGGUCGCAGUGAGGCACAGAAAAGGAAUCAAAAUUCCAGGACAAAAACCCUGGGACUUCCAUUUGUCGACUAGUCGAAGCAUUUUCUCGACGCCUUCUUGCGGAUGCUCUUGAGUCGAGAGAAAUCAAAUGACGAAUACGGUCGACAAGACGACAUGAUACAAGUCGUCUUGUGGAAUUUGAACUAGUCAUGGUUGGCCUAUUAGUCGAGUCUUUGGAGGAAUUGAUUUCAGAAGAAUGCAUGAGAUUGACAAGGUAGUUGCAUUUUAUGGAUUACUUCGAGGAACCCUCCUACAUUUUGCUAAAGAUUGGAAGAAAAUCGAUUUCCGAAUGACAAUGUAGAAAGUAUUCCACUACUCUGUCCCCCCCCCCCCCUUUUUUUUUUAUAGAUUUAUGGAAUAGUUGAUAAUUAAAAAAAAUUGUUGGCAAAAAAUAAUACCGCUCAUUUGAUUUUGCUCUAACUUGUUGGUAACUUAUAGACACAUUAUAACAUUACCAACAUUUAUUAUGGUGCAAUUAAUCAAUUUUUCUUAUUUAAAAAAAAAAUUAAGACGCUGUUAAGAAAUUUUAUUAGUUUUCUUCCCAACAUCUUAAAUUUGUGGAAAUAUGAAACUAAUAGUCCCUAAGCUUUAGCUUAACAUGUAAUGCCAUCCUUAAAGUUUUAAAUUGUUCUAUGUGGUCCUUAAAUUAUACCUAAAUAUUCAAUUUAAUCCAUAAACUUUCAAUUAGUUGAAUGUAGUACCUCAAUUUUCCAUAAAGAAAAAAGUGAAAAGCUUUUAUUAUUUCACUAUUCUCUGGAUUUUCAAAUAUCUCUUCAUUUCAAUUUGUUCCUAAAUCAACAAAAGAUAUUAUUAUAGUUUUAUUACUUUUAACCUUUUUGGUCUUUAUAAAUAUUAUGAUUGCUUCAUUUAAGUAUAUUUUAAUGUAAUGUCCCUAUAAAAGUAAAGCAGAACUUUAUUUAUAAUUGUAUCAGGUUGAUAUUCUUGCUACCUUAAUUCUCUAUUUUAUAGACUUAACUAAACUCAACUAAAAAAUAAAUAAUAAAAAAACACAAAACACAAAAGUUUGAAAUUUCAUCUGUCUAAAAAUUAGGAAUGUGAUUUAGAUUGAGAUUAGUAUGGCUAUAAAUAAAUUAAUAUCAAUGUUAGAUAUUCUUAUGAAAACACUUUUUUCUUAAAAAAAGGAAUUUCAAUUCGAUCAAACUAUAAAUGAGGUUCUAUGAUUACUAUUAUAGAGAUCAUAAGCUAAAAGGGAAAAAGACACUAAAAGUAACAUAAAUUACAUAUGACAUUCAUUUCAUGCUGCAUUUGGUAACGUUUUUGUUCAAAAAUUAUUCCAAUGAACAGAAAUAUAAAAAACUAUUUCUGUUCCGGGAAACAAUUUUUUAACAGAAAAACACGUUUUGUAAUUACAUAAAAUUUAUGUUUCUGGAAUAGAAAAAGAACAUAAACAUAUUUGGUAAACUUGUAUAAUUUUUUUGUUUCUUUUAAUUUUUAAAUAUCUGUAUUCUUUUUCUUUUUCUCUUUGGCCGGUCACUGCCCACCGCCAUGGCCGGCGAUCGGCUGGGCAACGUUCGACAAGCUCGUCGAGCCUCGCCUUGGCCUGGCGAGGCCUGACCUCACGCUAAUUGGGGAGGCCAAGCCUCGUUGGGGGCCGGCAACGCUCCGGCGAGGCCGCCGGCCAUGGCCGAGGCCGGCAACAUGCCAAAGAAAAAAGAAAAAAAAAAGAAAUAAGUUUUGUAUUUUUGUUCUUUUGUUUCUUCAAAAAGCAUUCCCGAAAAUAAAAAACAAGUUUUUCUUAUUUUUUAUUUCUGUUCCCAGAAACAAAAAAAUGGAUUUUUUAUUUCUGUUCCCAGAAACAAAAAAAUGGAUUUUUUGUUCCUAGGAACAAAAGUGUAAACAAACAUGUUUCUAUUCUUUUUUUUUUUUCGCAAAACAAAAGAACAGAAAUUGUGUUCCGGGGAACAAAAAAAAAAAACACAAACAAAGGGUGCGUUUGUUUGUGUUUCUGUUCCGGGGAACAAUUUUUUACCAGAAAGACGCAUUUGAUAAACUUGUUUCGGGAAUAAAAAAUAAAUAGAAACACGUUUGGUAAAUUUGUAUUCUUUUUUUGUUUCUUUUAAUUUUUUUAUAUUUUUAUAUUUUUAUAUUUUAAUAUUUUUAUAUUUUUAUAUUUUUUUCUUUCUUUUUUCUUUUUUUGUUCUUUUGGCCGAUCGCCAACCAUGCUGAGGCCGACAACCGCCCGACGGGGGCCGGUAGCCUCGCCCAAAUCCGGCUAGGCCAAGCCUCGCCGGUGGUUGGGCAAGCUCAGCCUCGUCGGAUCUAGGCGAGCCCAAGCUCGCCCAGCCAAGGCAAGGCCGAGCCUUGCCAGGGGUCGGUGACCCUCGGCCUCACCAGGGACCGGUGACGCUCCAGCCCUCGAUAGCCGGUCGUUGGCCAUGGUCAAGGCCGGCGACCGGCCAAAGAAAAAAGAAGAAGAAAAAAAAAGAGAAGAAAACAAAGGAGAGCGAAAAUUUGUUCUUCAAAAGUGUUUCCGGAACAAAAAAAUAAUUUUUUUUGUUUCUUAUUUCCGUUCCAAUUUUGUUCCGGAAAAAAAAAAUAGAUUUUGAACAAAAACGCAGUGUAAACAAACGCGUUUCUAUUCUUUUUUGUUCUCCGGAACAAAAGAAUAGAAAUUGUAUUCUGGGGAACAAAAAAAAAAAAAAACACAAACAAACAAGUCCUUAGUGUCAAAACUUUUGAAUAGAUCACUCUAGUGCCAUAUCAUGAAAAAACAAUCACUUAAGUCCCCCUAGCAAUAAAUUCCUACAAAGAGUCUUACAUAAUUUUUUUUAAUGAGAUGAUAAUUCUAACGUGGCUUUUUUUUUAUAUAUAAAAGAAUACAAGCAAGUUCUUAUAAAAGAAUAAAAGCAAGUCCAACGUGGACAAUGGGCUAGCCCUGUCAUGAAAACUUGUGAAUAGUACAUAUGAACCAAUUUGAUUUUGUUAUGGAAAGUUAAGAGAUUGGAUUGAAUAAAUUGGAAGUUUAAGGAUUAGAUCACACAUUUAAUAAUAAUUCAAGGACUACAUUAUGUGAAUAAAUGUUCAUGGAUGGCAUUGCACAUUGAAUAACGUUUAAGGACUAUUAGUUUCAUUUUCCCUAAAAUUGCUAACUAUUAUGUGAAUUUUUCGAUCUUUAUUUUUGUGACUUACAAAUUGUUUUUUCCUAACUAAUUUUAUGCUACCAACUCUUAUUUGAGUUACCCACCACAUUUAUUUGUUUUCUUUUAAUUUUUGUAAUCAUUUACCAACUUUAGUUCGUCUUUCUUACAAAUUCCUUAAGUUUGUUAAUUCUUAUAUAAAUUUAUCAACCUUUAUUUGUGUGAUUUACAGGACUUUCUUUCAUUAGGUUACCAAUUAGUUUUGAUUUACAAACUCUCAUUUGAUUUGUUUUCCACUAUUUGUUUAGUUUUUCUUUUUAAAUUUUCACACUUUUAUGUUGAGCAAGCAAUUUUUAUUUGUCUUUCUUACCACCUUGUCAAAUUUACAACUCUUUUUGGAAAUUUUUAUCUUAAUUAGAGUAAUUAUCAACUUUUUCCAUUUAAGUUAUUAACUCAUGCUUAAAAGAGUUAAUAACGCUUAUUGGAUUUUUUUUAGUUACAAACUUCUUGUUUCCUUGACAAUAAAAAUUCUCAUCUUUUAUCAACUUCUAUUUGAGUUAGGUCUUUUGCUUUUCCAUCUUUGAUUAAUCCAAAAAAGAAUUCACUUUGAACACUUUUUGUAACAAUUUAAGCUUCUACGAAAAGUGAUUUAUCUAACUCUAUUUAGCAUAAAAUUCACACAUAUAGCUUAUGUUUUGAAGUAUGACUAGACUAAAUUAAGGGGUCGGGGGUAACUCAUAACUUGAGCCUAAGAUGUAAUGAAGCAAUAAAUAAAAGUACUAGGGCGGAAAAGAGAGAAAAAGAAAAGCAAAUCCCAACCACGCCUAUAUUGUCUGCUGGUGAGAGUCCAUCUCCAACUUUAAUUUAUUUUUAUAUUAUCUGCCAUUUUCUUCUUUAGUCCGAUUUCUCAAUUGGAUCGGUUUCAAUCACCCACACGGAAUUACAUCGCAAGUGUUUUUUUUAGAAAUAAGAGUACUGAAAGUCCUAAAAUUUGUUACAAUAGUAUAACUGAAAUUUAAAAUUUUAAAAAGGUAAAAUCAAAUCAUAAAACUUUCAAAAAGUGCAAUCAAAUUUUAAAAUUUAUUGGGAGUGUACAAAAGAUCAAAAACCGCCUAGACUGCCAGAAAUCGAACAGGACUGGAUUAGGCAAUUCUUAAGGUAGCUAUUUGAUUCUUUGUUCCAAAUUAUUGGAACUGGUAGGCACCAGUCCGAUUCUCAAUUUUAGAUGUGAAACCACCCACCCACCACUCAGACUAAACCAGUAAUUUAUAAAUAUAUAUUUAAUUUCUAAGAUAAUUUUUGACAAAAAUAUUUUAAGACAAAUAAAAACCCUAAAAUUCCUAAUUUGAAAGUCAACACCCAUUAACUAAGUGCUUGUCAUAACUUAUUUUCACCUUGUCUAAGUUGUCUUUUUAUCUCUCACUCACAGUCUCGACUCUUUAUUUUUAAUAUGAGUCCAAUCUAUUUAUUAAUAUUGCAAUUAAGAAUGGGUUAAUACUAUGAAAACUCCUAAAUCGGUAUACUCGUGAUAAAUUUACCAAAAACUAAUUUCUUAACCACAAAAAAUUCCUAAAUUGGUACAUGUAUGAUAAAUUUACUCCAAAUGAUCACAAAAAACCCUAAACUAAUAUAUUUGUGAUAAAUUUACCAAAAAUUAUUUUUUUUAGUUGUAAAAAACCUCAAACUGGUACAUUUAUGACAAAUGUGCCCUUUAUUAAAUUGAAUUAAUAUAUCAAACCUAGUAUAAUUAUGACAAACAUAAAGUAAAAUCUCAAACCGAUACACAAGUCAACUGUUACGUGUCAUCCAACUUAGCAAUUUAACAUUAAAAUUUAACGAAAACUAACGGAGAGUAAGUAUAUUAUAAGUAUACAGUUUUUGGUAAAUUUGUCAAAGAUGACUAGUUUGAGAUUUUUUAUGAUCAAAAAAUUAGUUCAAGAUAAAAUCAUUACAAGUGUAAUUGUUUUGAGUUUUUUGUGAUAUUAACCCAUUAAGAACAUGGAAGUUCUUUUCUUUUUUUCUUUUUUUGCUUUAUGUUGGCUUGCUGGAAGAUGCAAGACUAGCAAUCCGAUUCUCGCGUGGAUCUAUGGAACCAACGGACAGUUAUUGGUUCCAAUUCGGAAUCAAUCCUUAGUGGGCGAUUCUCGAUUCUAAGGUAGGAACCCCAUGCUCACCCCUAAAACUUAUCAUAAAAAUACAAUUGAAUCCUAAAAAAUGUAAUCAACGAAAAUACUUAACUAGUUCAAUUUGACAAAUCUUAGAACUUGAUUGCACUUUUUGAAAGUUUUGCAAUUUUUGAAAGUUUUAUGACUCAAUUGCAUUUUGUAAUAAAUUUUAAGAUUCAAUUAUAUUUUUGUAAUAAAUUUUAAAACUUUCAAUACAGUUAUCCCUUACUCCAAAUUUAAGAGGUGAGCUAGCAAAAAAUAAACAUCCAAACAGGAUUAAUAUAAUUGUAAAACAUUCAUUUUUCUUAUUUCCCAGAUCUUGGUUUGGAUAAAAAGAGGAUCCGAACUUUUUGGUGCAGUGCACCCCGAUGUGCCGACACACAAGAUUAACUAGAUUGCAGGCUUGAACUGGAUGAAGUGCAUUCACCUUGCUUUGACUCGUGUGAAAUGUUCACCGAGCAAGAGUUCACAUACACCAGAUCCGAUUGACCCCUCUUAUCAUGGCCACAUCCCCCCCAAUUUGUCAUCACUUUCCCUCACCUUUCAACCCUUAUGAGUAUAUGAUAUGUGUCAUCGUCUCUACCCCAAAACAAAGGGAGGAAGAAAUGGAUCAUCCUUGGAUGAUUGUGUCAAAAUUUGGAAAAGUAGGAAACAGAUAUACAAAUUGGAAAGGUCCUCCGUACCAUCUAUUUUCAAGGCCUAAUGCAAGACUUUGUCUUCACAUUUGCGCACGGUAUAGGAGAACCCAACAUGAUAAACGAGAAGAAAAUUUGGCAAAAAUUUACUGCUGCGUUAGCUCAGUGAGUAGUAGUUAUGGUCUUCCCUCGACCUGCCAUUGCUGCCGACAAAGAUAAGAUGGUCGCCAUCCCUAAUCACCUCGAUGUCGUCCACCUCCGCGCCGUUCUUCAUUAGAAUCUUGGCAGGCAUGAAACCGAACUUCUUAGCUCCAGUCUGAAGGAGCUCUUCCAAGCUCCCCGGAAGCAGCACUAGCUUCCCUGCACUAUCUCCUAUCUCAGGACAACUGAUGGUCACCCUUGCCGGGUCGAUGCCACUCUUGACACUAUGAACUUGAUCGACCGGAAAAGGCAUCUCCCUCUUCUUGCCCUUGUGCGCAGCUGACAUAACCCCAAACAGAGAAUUGUGGAAGUUGUUGCUCCGACGCCUCGGGCGGCUCUGGCCCCACGAUCCCUCCACGUUGCUUUCCCGUGAUGCCGGACGGAUCAUCGGCUCGCUAGUGAACCUCCCUAGGGAGCGGGCCUCAUGGUGUUUCUCAGGUAUGGCUAUGACGGACUGUGGCUUGGCAUCUUCGGACGAUUGGAACAGGAGUUUUAUCUCCUCAUGCCCUUGUUGGUCAGCCAAAUCCCGUGGCGUCCAGCCAUAGGUGUCUGGCUUGUCCAUGUCAGCCCCUUGCUCCAGAAGGAACUUCACAAUCUCGAGGUUGUCUUCGGAGACAGCAAUGUGGAGGGCUGUGUUCCCGUGGCUGCUGGGAAGUGUGACGUCCCCUCCAUAAUGCACAAUCUCUUUGAGUAGGUAAAGGUUGUUCUGUUCAGCCGCAGUGCAUGCGAAUUGGCCGACAUCUCCAGAGCUUAUAUUCGCACCAUUUUCAGCCAACAACUUGACAACGGGGUCAUGACCGCCCAGCAUGGCCUCCCAAAGCGGCACACUUCCCUCUGAGUCUGAAAAAUUGUAAAUUUAUUUACUGUCAAAUGAGUGAACUUGAAUCAGAGCAAGGGAAAGGCCUCUAGGAGAUAUUCUAGUAAAUGGAACGAAAGUUAACUNNNNNNNNNNNNNNNNNNNNNNNNNNNNNNNNNNNNNNNNNNNNNNNNNNNNNNNNNNNNNNNNNNNNNNNNNNNNNNNNNNNNNNNNNNNNNNNNNNNNGCGCCCAGCACUCCGAGUCAGGCAUACUAAUCUUCAAGUAAAAGCGAUAGUUGCAGGAUCGCGUGACUUGAGUUUAUAUUUAUAUUUCGGCACAUUCAGUAACACGGAGAACUUGGACAAACGUAGCAGCGUCUGGAAAAUUUACCAACAGUGGAUACCGUUCAACACCAUGAAGCAAGUCAACAGACAUGAACCGACCGAUCUAGCAGUGAAUUAUUAAUUUUCUUCACAUAUUGGCAUAGACACGGAUUGAUUUAUAUCUCAAGAGAUAUUGUCUGUUUUCUUUGAGUGGAGUCCUACGACUAGGAUGCCUGGACAGGUGAAUAAACAGAUCUAGACGUUGACCACCACAGAGCAGAUAUUGCAUCUACGCAUGCUAGCUGGUUGCUGCACCUUCUGGAUAAGAACAUCAUGUUGACUACUACUAACAUGUGAUCCCAAAGAUUUGCUAAGAAAGAAAGGGAAGUGAAAGUCAAUGUGCCAAAACAAUGCAAUACAGAUUCCAUGAAUGGAACACCUGUCGAAUCAUGGCGUCAUGGUUUACCAAAUUUGGAUAUGAAAGAUCAACUAAAAGGGGCAUUUUGAAGAUAAUGUUACUUAAUCUGAUUCAUACAGAGAGGUGUCUCGCGAAAUCUAUGGAAAGACAAGUAUGUUAAGAAAGUCCGCAUGUGGGUAUCAUCCCAAAACCAUUAUUUCCCCCCUUAAUAGUCAGAAGGUAUGCUCAUUUUGACAACUCGAUACUAUAUGCAGCCAAAGACAUGUCACAGGGGGCCACAGAUAAUGUAAGAGAAGGGCCAUAAAGAAGUAUGCAAUUUCAAACUUGUGACCCACUUGACGGGAAUUUAAGAGCUUCUCGUAAUACAGGAGGGCUUGUUGGAAAUCAGCAGACGGCAGAGUCUUAGCAUAUGACGGAAAAAACAUGGAUGGCAUUUUUGUAGAUAGUUGAUCAGCUAAUUAGAGAACGUUGGACCUUACCAAAAAAAAAUUAGAGAACGUUGGAAUACUGGGAAUAUGAUGAAGCAUUAAAUACGCAGCAUCGAUAUACGAAUGUGAUACCGAGAUAUGAACCAAGAAAAUCCAAUCAAAUUAAUGUAGAAUAUAAGAAAGAUGAUACCUCGCCUGUUAGGAUCUGCCUCAAAGUCCAGUAGAAGAAGCACGCAAUUCUCGCUUCCUUUAGAUGCUGCAAUAUGCUGAAAUUACGGAAAAGGUAAUUAAAUUUAGAGUGAUUUUUUAGCCAAUGGAAAUUGCAUCAAAAUAAGCAAAAUCGCUGGGCUUUCAUACUUACCAGUGAAGUCCUUCCACUGUUGUCUGAUUCAUUUGGAUCGAGACCUCGUUUCAACAAUUGGUUUAGUAAUAAGUCAUCUCCUCUCAUUGUCGCAAAGCACAAACUGAGAGGGAGGUCCAUCCUACCGCGAGCCAACAUGUUCUCUGUCUCCAGCAAGACACCCUCCAUGGUUGGAUCUUUGAGAUCUUUCAAAUGCUGUGCAGCAAAAUCACCAUCGAUAUUACAAAAUGGACCUAGGAAAAUAUUAUGAACAAAGAAUACACCAAAACCCUUGUCAUAAAUUAUAGUAAAAAAAACUAAGAACGCCAUGAAAAAUUUAACCAGACGAAUUACCAUACUAACAGCUGCUAUAGUAUGGUUUUUUUUCGUACAGACUUCAUACCUGAAGGAGGUUGUUCAUUAUAAUAGUCCCGUCACCAACAUUAGCCUGGACGAUAUUAAGAAACGUAGUACGAUUCAGCCGCAGCAGCUGGCUCAACCGUUUGGUCCUCACUGUGAAGAGCUGCGGUCUAUAACAAAGCACGCCAAUCUCACCACAGAGAUCUCCAGUUUUAGCUUCACCAAUAACCUGUGCCAUCCACACUAAUGUCAGUAGGUUCCUUACUUUUUACUUGCAAGCAAAUUUCUUGGUGUCAAUUAUGGAGCAGUCAGACUUGCCUGUUCGGUUCCAUUCUUCAUUACCAGCAGAUCCUGCAUGAUAUCAUACAUGUUAAACCUUAAAUUCAGAAAAGAUCAGUUUCAAUUUAGGGAAUUCUAUUUCCAAAAGAAGCCAUAAACCGCAAAAUCAAAGUUUGCAUGUCAAAUUUCUGAUAAAAUGACAGGUUUUGGUUCAUUACCACAGCACCAGUGACAAGUAUGUAGAAAUCUGUAGGCGCCUCAUUUUGCAAAAUCACAUCCUCUUUUGGAGGAAAAUAUUCAGCCUUCAUCUCUGAAACCUUUCCAAAAUACAAUGGACAACACAAAUUAUUAGGAAACAUGCAACUACGGACAGCCAAUCAAAAUUGUUAUGUGCAAAGUGAAAAUUUGCAGAAUAGUUGUGUUGCUAGUACCAGCUGGAAGAGCAAGUCGUUUGAAACCCCAUGGAAUAAGUACACUUUAUCCACUAGAGAGUAAAAAAGGUAAUGCGAAAUGCUUGAACGGAUCGCUUUAGGGAGUGACUCGAGAAUCUCUUGUUGCUGCAGUCCCUCCGAAUUUGUUCGGUACUUCAAACAUAAAUGUGCUAGCAUCUGAUCUUGCAGCCGAGGAGGCAGUUGGUUCCUCAGGGAGAAGCUUGAAGCAGCUUGUAUGGUAUCUCUCUUAGAAUUUAAAAAGUGAACAACGAUAAGAAAGUAAAGAAAGAAUUGGGGUCCAAAAUCACUGCUUACGGACAUAAAAGCUGGUCAUAUAAAUACAUUACAAGACACUUUUUAAAGCAAUUGUGUAAGGAACAAAUAAGCGCAUACUCACAAAUUUUCGGGUUCGGCUUGUCCCAUGAACGACUAAGUUGGUCAUAUUACCAAUCAAGUAAGCAGUCAACCCAAGGUUGAAGAGCAUGUAGAAGAUGUCAAAGAGCAUCUCCCUUGUAUUGACAGGAUGCAGGUCCCCAUAGCCAACCGUCGUUAGAGUAGUGAUUGACCAGUAAAUUGAAGUCACAUACCGGAUCCACAGACUCUGCUCAAGGAAGUUCUCCAUUAUGGCACCAAUCCAUGUCCUUUUAGGAUCUCGAUAUCGUGCAGCGAGGAGGUAAUAGAAGCACCCAGCGCAAUGAACAGCAAAAAGGGUGACCUGAAGAAGGUAAAUUACACAGAGCUCUUUAUUACAGGAAGGAAAUAUCAAUAUGUUUGGUCAUGAUCAGAUUGAUCCUAAAUAACUUGGACACUCACACAAAUGAGUUUUGCACAUCGAACCCAGAAGUAGUUAUAGUUCCUGUCUUUCUCCAAUCUGUUUGCAGAUAUGACAAUACCAAUCAAGUUUUUGCAGUGUACAGGUUCGCAAUUGCGAUUCAUUCAAGCGGAAAAAAACAUUACCUGGAAAAUAAGGCACUGACUCUUCGUAGACGCCAAAGGCGAAGCAUGUUAAAGAGGCCAUAGGAAUUGAAAUUUGAUGGGAAUAUUUUCCGAGCAAGUUCAGAUGGAAUCGUGGAUAUUAAAUCGAAGGCAAACCACGUGGUAGUGUAUUUCCAAGCAAUUUUCUUUGGAUUAUCGACAAGAAGGUAAGUAGUUUUGUCAAGAUAAGCAACGAAGAACGUCAAUAUGAUGUCUAUGGCGAAGAAUGCAUUGACGACAUUAUCGAUAAUGGACAAUGCUAUCGCUGGAUCUCUCAGAAACCCAAAUUCAAAAGGCGACACCCAAGCUGUGUAGGCAACCAGAACGACAAGGAGAGUCUCCCAACACCUGCGCAAAGAUAACUUCAAUUCAGUGAUAAUAAGAGAAAAUUACGAGGAUUUAUCCAGGGAAAAUACAUUCGAAAUCAUACUAAACUCUGUGAUGGCGACUAAUCAUUUCCUGCUAUGGUUUUUUUUUUUUUGUGAAGAAGAAGGAAGUUUCAUAUUUUAUUUGUGCAUAUGCAUAUUUCAAGACUUGAGCUCAUAUUCAUAGAUCAGUAUUCCAAUAAUUCUUCUUCUUUGACCUUCAAAAAGCCAAAAUUUCUGGUUUAGGCCGAGAGGCAGGUGAGGAAAAAA
rnacentral:lncRNA from 1 species